UCAGUCGACUCCUACGGGAGGCAGCAGUGGGGAAUAUUGCACAAUGGGGGAAACCCUGAUGCAGCCAUGCCGCGUGUGUGAAGAAGGCCUUCGGGUUGUAAAGCACUUUCAGUAGGGAGGAAGGUAGUGUAGUUAACACCUGCAUUAUUUGACGUUACCUACAGAAGAAGCACCGGCUAACUCCGUGCCAGCAGCCGCGGUAAUACGGAGGGUGCGAGCGUUAAUCGGAAUUACUGGGCGUAAAGCGCAUGCAGGCGGCCUGUUAAGUCAGAUGUGAAAGCCCGGGGCUUAACCUCGGAAUUGCAUUUGAAACUGGCAGGCUAGAGUCUUGUAGAGGGGGGUAGGAAUUUCAGGUGUAGCGGUGAAAUGCGUAGAGAUCUGAAGGAAUACCAGUGGCGAAGGCGGCCCCCUGGACAAAGACUGACGCUCAGAUGCGAAAGCGUGGGGAGCAAACAGGAUUAGAUACCCUGGUAG
rnacentral:rRNA from 1 species